UACAGAGGUCCCAAGCGUUGUUCGGAUUCACUGGGCGUAAAGGGUGCGUAGGCGGUCGGGUAAGUCUGAUGUGAAAUCUCACAGCUUAACUGUGAAACUGCAUUUGAUACUAUUCGGCUAGAGAGUUGGAGGGGGGACUGGAAUUCUUGGUGUAGCAGUGAAAUGCGUAGAUAUCAAGAGGAACACCAGUGGCGAAGGCGAGUCCCUGGACAACUUCUGACGCUGAGGCACGAAAGCUAGGGGAGCAAACAGG
rnacentral:rRNA from 1 species